AUAUCAGUAAGCGGAGGAAAAGAAACUAACAAGGAUUCCCCUAGUAACGGCGAGCGAAGCGGGAAGAGUUCAAAUUUAAAAUCUGGGCGGCUUUGCCACUCCGAAUUGUAAUUUAAAGAGACGUUAUCUGGGCCUAGUCUGUGCUCAAGUCCCUUGGAAUAGGGCGUCACAGAGGGUGAGAACCCCGUCUGGGCAUCGGUGCUAGGUCCUCCAUGAGGCGUCCUCUACGAGUCGAGUUGUUUGGGAAUGCAGCUCAAAAUGGGUGGUAAAUUUCAUCUAAGACUAAAUACUGGCAAGAGACCGAUAGCGAACAAGUACCGUGAGGGAAAGAUGAAAAGCACCUUGAAAAGGGAGUUAAAUAGUGCGUGAAAUUGUUAAAAGGGAAACGAUUGAGAUCAGUAUUACUGUUGGCUGUUCAGCGCUGCUUGUGCAGCGUGCAUUCAGUCAACGGUGAGUCAGCAUCAGUUUGGGCUUCCGGAGAGAGGUCAGAGGAAGAUGGGGUUGUCCUUCGGGGCCACUCUUUAUAGACUCUGGCUGGCACGCGGAGCCCGGACUGAGGCAUGCGGCCGCAGUACUCACAAGCCGAGCCUGAUCCCCACUGGUCAAAGACUGCACGCAGACUUUGACCGCAAGGAGCAGAGGUAGGCCUGUGCAUGCGGUUCCAGGAUGCUGACGAAAUGGUCUUAAACGA
rnacentral:rRNA from 1 species